rnacentral:rRNA from 1 species
UACGUAGGGGGCAAGCGUUGUCCGGAAUCAUUGGGCGUAAAGAGCGUGUAGGCGGUUCGGUAAGUCGGCUGUGAAAGUCCAGGGCUCAACCCUGGGAUGCCGGUCGAUACUGCCGGACUAGAGUUCGGAAGAGGCGAGUGGAAUUCCUGGUGUAGCGGUGAAAUGCGCAGAUAUCAGGAGGAACACCGGUGGCGAAGGCAGGUCUCUGGGCCACUACUGACGCUGAGAAGCGAAAGCGUGGGGAGCGAACAGG